UAACCAGCUGUCACUGUACUGGUUCUUUGUUGCAGAACAUGCUCUGUGUAGAAAUAAAAUCGAUAUCUAUUGACUACACAAAUUAUGUAUUUAACUCGUAUGUGUUAUGGCUGCUGAAUUUUGGAAUCAUUAUUUGCACAAGCUAUUCUUGUUUUGUUUGUCUGGAGGAACUGAAGUUGUUUAGCAUGUAUACGUGUGAAACUGUUCUUUCCUCAUAAGCUGCAUCAAGGUGCAAAGUGUGGAUAAUAUUUCUGUUGCUAUAAAGCUUGAAUUUGGGCAUUUCAGUCUUCUGACAUGUAGUUCUGCUUUGCAGGCAAUGAUGAAAGACCGGUUUGCAAAAAGUGUGGUGCGAAAGGUUUUGGAGACUUGCGACGACCACACCCGUGAGCUGAUUCUUUCGCGUAUCAAGGUCCUCCUCAGUCCUGAACACAGUAAAAAGAUAGGGAUUAGUUACCUACCUCAUACAGGACAGGAUACCUGGAAUUUCUGAAGUGUGAGGAGGCAUAAGCUGUGUAUCGGCAGCAAGCAUCGAGCAAUUCAACCAAGCAUGUCUUGCAACUGAGGAAACCAGAAGUGCCUUUCUUUUGAUUCUCCCGAGGAGUGCCAGAUUCUAUUGAUAUGUUUGGUACUGCUGAUGAGAAUGGGCCAUUACAGGCAAUGAUGAAAGUCCGAUUUGCAAAAUGUUUGGUGCAGAAGGUUUUAGAGAAUUGCGACGACCACAACUGUGAGCUGAUUCUUUCGUGUAUCAAGGUCCUCCGGAACACAGUAAAAAGAAGGGGAUUAGUUACCUACCUCACAUAGGACAGGAAACCUAGAAUUCUGCAGUGUGUCGAGGCAUAAGCUGUGUAAUCGGAUUAUCGGAAGCAAGCAUCAAGUAACUCAACCUGGUAACUGAGCCUGGCCCCCUCCAACCAAUCCUUGCAACCAUUUGGGAGAUGGACCAUUCAAAGUGAGAUAUUAGAGGAAACCGAACAACACCCAAAUCAACAGGCGGUUGACCGGAGGUGGUUCAGUUCCAUCGAACUCUCACUUCAAGUGGCGCAUGUACGGCGCAUCCGUCAUGUAGGUACCCCCAGAUCAUUAGGUAAAUCUACCGAAAAUGAGAUAUUGGAGAAAAACAAACUGGAAACAUCAACACUUUGAGAUGGAUUUCCCAGUUUGCUUUCAUCCAACACUCACUUUCAGUGCCUGCACAACAACAGCUGAAAACAAUACUAGCAUAGCAGGGAGGUGGCGUUGGUUACGAUUCAGAAGCCAGGAGUAGGCUGUGGAACUACUGCCUUGGUUUGGGCCAGGAUUUUAUAGCUGCGCGACUGGGAAAGGGAGUCCUUGGCUUUCUGUUGGGCCGGCCAGCCCUUCAUGCCCAUCGUGUGUGUGCUUUUCCUGCAUGAACCUUGUGCUUUCGGUUUCAGAACCCCACCCUGGUGGUACAAGUAGAUAGAGUAUUUUCUGGUAGACCUUCCCAGGACAGAACAAUGCUCAAAGCCUGGUUUCUCUUUUUCUCUUCUCAAAGCGUGCUCACGAUUGAAGUGUCAAGACUCAGUUCAUCCUUACUGCAACUCAUCCUGGUCUACCAACAGUGCUCAGGAGUAUUUUGUAAUAUGAUUCCUGGUCACAGAGGCAUUUGCUUAAUGUCUUACCAUUUUUGUCGCAUUUCAGAAAGGCAUAUUGAUAUUGGGGGUCUCA